UACAGAGGUCUCAAGCGUUGUUCGGAUUCAUUGGGCGUAAAGGGUGCGUAGGCGGCGCGGUAAGUCGGGUGUGAAAUCUCGGAGCUUAACUCCGAAACUGCAUUCGAUACUGCCGUGCUUGAGGACUGGAGAGGAGACUGGAAUUUACGGUGUAGCGGUGAAAUGCGUAGAUAUCGGAAGGAACGCCGGUGGCGAAAGCGACGUGCUGGACCCCUUCUGACGCUGAGGCACGAAAGCUAGGGGAGCAAACAGG
rnacentral:rRNA from 1 species